AUGGCGGCCAUCAAAGAUUUGCCGACCGACCAGGCAUCGGGGCCGGACGGUUUCACGGGCUCCUUCUACAAAGUAGCAGCCCCAAUUAUCGCCCAAGACCUACUACUCGCGUUCCAACAACUAUUCAACCUCAACCGCAGAAACCUGCACAAGCUCAACACUACUAACAUUGUCUUACUGCCCAAGCGGGAUGGCGCCAACGCCAUGCACGAGUUCAGGUCAAUCAGCCUCCUGCACUCUAUCGUCAAGCUUUUCAUGAAGGUGCUUGCAAACCGUCUCUCCAAGCGCAUCAAUGAGCUCAUCGGCCCCUCCCAAAGUGCUUUCUUAAGGGGCCGCCACAUCCAGGACAACUUUCUCUUCGUCCGUGGCCUCGCCAGGCAUUUCCACCGCACCAAGAGGCCGAUGUUGUUGGUUAAGCUAGACAUUGCCAAAGCAUUUGACACGGUUUCCUGGCCCUACCUCCUCAACAUGCUACAGGCUAGGGGUUUCGACCCUCAAUGGCGCGAAUGGAUAGCCAUGCUUCUCUCCACAGCAUCAUCCAGGGUCCUCAUCAACGUCGUCACAGGUGAGGCAGUGCACCAUCAAGUUGGUCUCCGCCAAGGGGAUCAGCUGUCGCCGUUCCUCUUCAUCCUAGCCAUGGAACCGCUGCAGCAGCUGCUCACCAAGGCGGUCCACUGCAAGGCCCUUUCCGUCCUGUGCGGGCGCAUUCGAGCGUGCGCACUGCCGUCUAUGCCGAUGACGUGGCCUUUUUUGUUAACCCGGUCAAGACCGAGCUUCGGGUACUGCGCUCCCUCCUGA
rnacentral:rRNA from 1 species